UCUUCAUUUCCCACACUCUCUCGCCUCUCUGACCGGUGAGAGAGUGUGGGAAAUGAAGAGA
rnacentral:pre_miRNA from 1 species